rnacentral:rRNA from 1 species
UACAGAGGGUGCAAGCGUUACUCGGAGUUACUGGGCGUAAAGAGCACGUAGGCGGUUGAAUAAGUCAGUUGUGAAAUCCCUGGGCUUAACCUGGGAACUGCAAUUGAGACUGUAUGACUAGAGUCGAAGAGAGGGAAGCGGAAUUUCCGGUGUAGCGGUGAAAUGCGUAGAUAUCGGAAGGAACAUCUGUGGCGAAGGCGGCUUCCUGGCUUCAGACUGACGCUGAGGUGCGAAAGCGUGGGUAGCGAACAGG